rnacentral:rRNA from 1 species
GACGAACGCUGGCGGCGUGCUUAACACAUGCAAGUCGAGCGAAGCGGCGGCCUGGUGAGUAACCCGUGAGUAACCUGCCUUAGACAUUGGGAUAGCCUCGGGAAACCGGGAUUAAUACCAAAUGGGCUAAGAUGGACUCGCGUCCCAUUAGCAAGUUGGUGAGGUAACGGCCCACCAAGGCGACGAUGGGUAGCCGGCAUGUGAGAGUGAACGGCCACAUUGGAACUGGGAAACGGUACAAACUCUACGGGAGGGAGCAGUGGGGAAUAUUGCACAAUGGAGGGAACUCUGAUGCAGUGACGCCGCGUGAGCGAUGAAGGAAGUCGUUUCGUAAAGCUCUGUCCUUGGAGAAGCGGUAACCAAGGAGGAAGCACCGGCUAAAUACGUGCCAGCAGCCGCGGUAAUAC